AAAACUAUUAUAUUAUAUUAUAUUAUAUUAUAUUAUAUUAUAUUUAUUAUAUAUUUUUUGAUAGAGAGGGGGCACAAGUGAGUGAGUGAGAGACAGAGGGAGAGAGAAGCAGGGCUCACCCGAUGCGGGGCUUGAACUCACAAACCGUGAGAUUUUGACCUGAGCCAAAGUCAGAUCCCUAACGACUGAGCCACCCAGGCACCAUGUAUUGUAUUUUUAAGGGCUAGACUAUAGAUUUUUUCAUAUGAACAUAAAAUUUCUGGAAGAAUACCUGAACUUCUAUGAUUUCUUCUAAGGGAUGAGACUGGGGUGGAGGAUGGCAGGGGACUAGAGGUGUCAGCUUUCUCUUUGGACCCUUCUGUAUUGUUUCGGUUUUUGGUUUUGGUGGUUUUUGUUUUUAUUUUAAGUAUAAGCAUAUUAUUUUUGUAAUAUAGAUAAUUACUGUAAAAUGAAAAAUAAUCUAUGCUGGCUUUUACUUCACAUUAUAGGACUGGACUUUCCUAAAUAUCUUAGGGGAGAUAUAAUUGUUAUCCUAAUUAUUAUUCUAUACUCUUCUCACUUCUCAGAGAAAUGAAGAGCAAUCCGAGGCUCCUUGUGGGAUUUAACACUCUGUUAAAGCUACCAAUGCAGUUAAUAUGUGCUUGGAGCUGGUAGCAAAACACCAGGGCUCAAAUCAGAGCAAGAAGGUGGGGGUUUCUGAUGUUGCAGCCUCAGUUCUAACGGGUCAAACUAGGCUAUACCCUGGCAUCCCCUUCUUUGCCGUCUUUACUGGAAAUAUCUUGGACCUGGAUCCAAGACCCCCUCAAAGCCAGGGCUUUCCCUUCUAUAUAUGGUUGGGCCUCCUGCCGGGCUAGGCCAGCCCACACACAAGGCCAGAAAAAUCUGCUGAAUUAUAUUGCAUAGAAACCUGGAUUCACAGUGAUAACACUUCAACAAGAGUUAUGUUUUCCACAGGGGCCAUUCUGAGAUUUUGGGGGAAUAGUGGUGUGUCAGUGCUUGGGAAAAGCCAAGAUGCUUUUUUGAGAUUAAAAUAAUAAAAUAAAGUAAAAUAACAUAGAAUUCUCACUGUGCCUGUAUUCACCAAAUCUAUUGCUUGGGCUGAAGCGAAUUGGCUUCUUGUCUGGCUGAAAAUAAUGAUGGCUUGCCUCUCUCAUUUCUGUUGUUUGAUAACAGAAGUCAGCAGGGCUGAUACGUUAAAAAUUCCAACAGAGUAGGUGGGGAGGAAGGUGAGGCCCAGGAGAUCACGGCUCGCCCAGGAUUGGAGCAGGAUGGAAGCGGGUCAUUUGACUGGAAAGAACCUGAAAUCUGGCCACUGUUUCCCUCCCUAAGGGUCUGGGGACCCAAGUUAAGAUGCUGUGCUCCCUGGAAGGCCUCGCUUAGGGGGAGUUGGAAAGAAGUGGAAGACCAGAUUCCUGCUCUCAAGGCACUUACAGUGCCUGUCUCCAGGGGAGAGUACAUGGAAGUGUAAAGAUCUCCUGAGGCACCAAAAUAGUGAGACAAGGUUGGGCGCAGAGGGGAAGUAAGAUGCUGCGGAUCAAAGGAAUAGGAAACUGAGACCUAGAGAAGUUGCCCAAGGGGAGGACUUGAUCCGAGCCCGACAGCUGUGGAAGCCCGAGCCCCUCACCACUGCCUGUGCUGCCAUCUGUUCCAACGGACACCCUUCUCCCAGGCCGACGCCCUGGUGUGGUGUGGCUCCAGUGCUGAGCAGGUGUGUAAGAGGAAGCAGCCAGAAGCCAGCUGUGCCGGCACUGUCUUGUAAAGGAGGAAACUCAGGGCGGCUUCUUGCUUCGUGGACCAGAACCCCUUCUCCAGCCCAAUUACCAAGUCCAAGUGCAGGCGUUCCGUGGGCAGCCUUCCACGCAGCGGAUUUGGUGGACUCAGGCUCCUUCAAUUUUGUGGCUCCGCCAUCCACUACCCCUGAGAUGCCCCUGCUGGGUCAUCUGCAGCCAACUGGCUCAGGGGAAAAGCAAAGAAGAAAAGGUGGAAGCCUUUCCAGAACAGAGGGCGGACCUGAUUCAACAGUGUAUCUCCAGUGGCAAGGAGAAAGCCUGCCUGUCACUCAGUAGGUGUUCACGACAUGUUUGAGCGAAUGAAUGCCCGCCUGUGUUUCAGGUAGCAGCCACCAGAUGGCAACAGUGUCCUUUGGGCUAUGAAGGUAAACGGUAAGCUUUCUGCAAGAGCACCUGAAAUAAAUGGAGGUGGGUCCCCAUAAUCGCGGCACUUGGCUAUUUUUCUAAAAAACAUAUCAGUUUAUCGAAAUACCCGCAAAGUCAUUGCUCCAGCCAGACCUUGUGCGAGAGACACAGCAAACAAAAUCCCGUAAGGAAAGGGAGAGGUAGGUACCUGUGCACCACGGAGUGCUUGAACCCUUAGUACCAUUCUCCAUGGGAUCUCGGCAUGGUAUUACCUAACUCGAGGGCCCGAGAACACCCAUUCAGACUCCUGAGCAUUUGACGUGUCUGAAGCCAUCCCAGCCUGACACCCUUGUGGCUGCCUGUGCCUGUUCCGGGUUCACUGGCUCUAAUUUUACUUCCUUAUCUUAUCAGGGUUUUUACCAGGAGACCAGUUUGGCUGGAGAGGAAGGUUUAUGAAGGUUCGUGAAAGAUAAGGUUGGCGGUAGGGAGGGGCCGGCAGGGGAGGCCUCUGGAUACCAGGCUGAGGAGUGUGGACUUUACCCCACACACGACAAAGUAGCUGGCAGGCUCUAGUGCCGCAGGCAUGUGCACGUGCGUGUGCAGGCAGGCGGCGCGUGUGUGCAUGAGUGAAAGGGGAGUGGAAUGGGGAGGGACGGACAGGUACCAAACGGUGUCGGGAAGGAUGGGUGAUGGGGCUGGGGGGCAGCAAGGGAGGCCCGCGGGGGGUCACUGUAGCAACCUAAGGUAUAGGGCUGAGGCACCAGACGGUGGGGGUGGCGGAUGGCAGACGCCCAGAUGGAUUCAGGUAAGUUCUGCAGGGAGAUCCACUAGAGGAUUGGGUGAUUGAUUGGGAAGGACGGGGGGAGCCCAGAACCAAGCAAGGAGCUUCACUGUUGGACUAAACCCUGACCUUGUGCAAAUUAGAAGAAGGCCUGUCUUUCCCAGGACACUUGGCUUCUACCUGCCACCAAACUGUCUUGCCUGCAAAGCUCCCAGGUGAAUAGGCCCCUGAGGCAGCCAGUCCGUGCCCGCCCUGCUCCACGGUGGGGUGGGACCCCAGCAUUCCAAGCCUGGCUGCGGGAGGCAGGGAGGGUAUUUCUGAGAGAAAUGGUUUAAGGAAAAGAGCAUCCCGAGUCUCAUACAUCUCCAGUGCGGUGGUUCUCGAACGUCAGUGGGCAUCAGACACACAGGGAGGGCUUGCUAAAACACAGGUCGCUGGGGGUCUGAUUGCGUAGAUCUGGGCUGGAGCCUGAGAACUUCCAUUUUAUACCAAAUUCACUGGUGACACUGUUACUGCUGGUCCGGGACCACUCUUAGAGCCCUACCCAAACCAGAUGAAUCAGAAUCCAGGUAGAAGAGCAUCUCCUGGACAUCUUUCUUCCACCCACACGUUAGAUUCAAAGAUAGCACCUCUGGGGGCAGCUCAGGUCUGAAGACGCGGCUGUAUUUGAGCUGCAGGAUAUUGGCAAAUUGUUUGGUUCCUAUUGAUGAAUUUCCCCCAUUUCAUCUCUAAUACUCCCCUUUUCCCCCAGGAGAGGCUUCAACUUCCCCUCUUUCCCUGACAGGAGUACCAGGCUGGCCCGAAUUGUCCAGUCCUCCCUAACAAGCAAGGUGAACUGUGUCAAAACCUGCUUCUUUCAUAAUAAGUACCUGCCACUUUGCUUUUUCUAGCUCUUCUAGAUAUCUUUUAGAGAUUCCAGAAUUUUCUGUGGGCCGGACAUGCCUGUUUACUGCUCACCUGCUGAAUAGGAGCUACCGGUUCCCCUGACCCCCCCCCCCGCCCCGUCCCCUGUC